UUAAGCUCCAAACCACUUCUUGAAAACGGACCGUUAGAUCUUGGAGGAAGCCGUUUUCCACCAGCCCGAGCGGGCCUGGAGCAGAGCGUGUACCACCAGCUGAGAAAACAAACCAGAGAAAGAGAAAGUACACUCUGGUGAGCAGGCCCUAGGCAAACACCGCGCGCCCCUCUGCCCGGCUCUGCACCCCCGGGCUGGCUGCAGCGGUGGCUUUGGCAGUGCGCUCCUGAGGCUGAGGCUGGGAGGGGACCCGCUGCCUCGGAGCCACACAGCACACAAAGAGAUUUACGGUCUUCGACUCCUGACUUUUAUUUAAUGAAAACCAGAAGUAUAAAAUCGAGGCAGCAAACAUCACCAGGACAGCAAAUAAAAGGGGAGAAGAAAGGCAAAAGGAUCACACUUCGAACACAGGGCCCACGUCUGUGCACAGGACACCUGUUUGCUCCUCAUUCUGCAGCACCUGCCGGUCAUUCCCAAGAAGAACCCCAGGAAGCAGCUGGAGCUGGAUUCUCCGUUCAACUGGCCAAGAUGGAAGCGGAGCCCCGAGCAACAGACCACUGGGGCUCUUGAGUUUCCAUCUUCAGACCCUUGAGGAUUUGUGGUCCUGAGCUCCGUGGCCCCUCACUUGGACCUCAACUACACCUCUUCUUCAUUUCAUUGACUGCCAUUGUAAGUUUAUUUAUGUAAGUGGAGAAAUCACAAAACAAAGCGCACCACUGGGCCUGGGCAGAACAGAGAAAUAAAGGAGCAUAUGGUAAUAUUGUGGUAAUGACAUUUUGAUUGUUCAAAGAGUCAUAUUUUCCCCAAGGCUAUGAACAAAGGUUGUUGAUUUAUAUGGA